GUAUUCUGUAAUGAAUUCAAGUAUGAUUUAUUUCCCAACUAUUUAUAUAAGACACAACUGACUGUAUUUAUGUGAAUAUUCUCCAAGACAGGAAUUUCGACAUAACUGUGUGUGCAUUUGCCUGAUAAGCACAAAAAAAAAAAUCUCAAUUCACUACUCUGGCGCAAUAUGACUGGCUGCUUUGUGUGCGCACAGAAAACUGUCAGAACAGCAUACUCAGGGAAACACAGUCGUAUGACAGCCCUGCUGGAAAGGCUUCACAGCAAACACAACUCUUCCCGGUCCUGGCAGGAGACCAGCAAAGUGGUGCGGCAGGCUAUGGAAAAGCGGGGUCAAGUAAUACAGCUGACAC